rnacentral:rRNA from 1 species
CACACUGGGACUGAGAUACGGCCCCAGACUCCUACGGGAGGCAGCAGUGGGGGAUUUUGCACAAUGGGCGCCAAGCCUGAUGCAGCGACGCCGCGUGAGGGAUGACGGCCUUUCGGGUUGUAAACCUCUUUCGCUAGGUUGGAAGACGCUUUUUGGAGUUGUUGACUUUAACUGGUAAAGAAGUACCGGCUAACUACGUGCCAGCAGCCGCGGUAAUACGUAGGGUACUAGCGUUGUCCGGAAUUAUUGGGCGUAAAGGGCUUGUAGGUGGUUUGUCGCGUCUGUCGUGAAAACCCGGGGCUUAACUCCGGGCUUGCGGUGGGUACGGGCAGGCUUGAGUGCGGUAGGGGAGACUGGAAUUCCUGGUGUAGCGGUGGAAUGCGCAGAUAUCAGGAGGAAUACCGGUGGCGAAGGCGGGUCUCUGGGCCGUUACUGACACUGAGGAGCGAAAGCGUGGGGAGCGAACAGGAUUAGAUACCCUGGUAGUCCACGCUGUAAACGUUGGGCACUAGUUGUGGGGGCUUUUGUUGGUUUCCGCGACGUAGCUAACGCAUUAAGUGCCCCGCCUGGGGAGUACGGCCGCAAGGCUAAAACUCAAAGGAAUUGACGGGGACCCGCACAAGCGGCGGAGCAUGCGGAUUAAUUCGAUGCAACGCGAAGAACCUUACCAAGGCUUGACAUGCACCGGACGACUCUAGAGAUAGGGUUUCCCUUUGUGGCUGGUGUGCAGGUGGUGCAUGGUUGUCGUCAGCUCGUGUCGUGAGAUGUUGGGUUAAGUCCCGCAACGAGCGCAACCCUUGUCUAGUGUUGCCAGCAAGUAGUGUUGGGGACUCUCUAGAGACUGCCGGGGUUAACUCGGAGGAAGGUGGGGAUGACGUCAAAUCAUCAUGCCCCUUAUGUCUUGGGCUUCACGCAUGCUACAAUGGGCGGUACAGUGGGUUGCAAUACCGUGAGGUGGAGCUAAUCCCCAAAGCCGUUCUCAGUUCGGAUCGUAGUCUGCAACUCGACUACGUGAAGGUGGAGUCGCUAGUAAUCGCAGAUCAGCAUUGCUGCGGUGAAUACGUUCUCGGGUCUUGUACACACCGCCCGUCACGUCACGAAAGUUGGUAACACCCGAAGCUCAUGGCCUAACCGCG